UGGGGAAUUUUGGACAAUGGGGGAAACCCUGAUCCAGCCAUCCCGCGUGUGCGAUGAAGGCCUUCGGGUUGUAAAGCACUUUUGGCAGGAAAGAAACGUCGCGGGUUAACACCCCGCGAAACUGACGGUACCUGCAGAAUAAGCACCGGCUAACUACGUGCCAGCAGCCGCGGUAAUACGUAGGGUGCAAGCGUUAAUCGGAAUUACUGGGCGUAAAGCGUGCGCAGGCGGUUCGGAAAGAAAGAUGUGAAAUCCCAGAGCUUAACUUUGGAACUGCAUUUUUAACUACCGGGCUAGAGUGUGUCAGAGGGAGGUGGAAUUCCGCGUGUAGCAGUGAAAUGCGUAGAUAUGCGGAGGAACACCGAUGGCGAAGGCAGCCUCCUGGGAUAACACUGACGCUCAUGCACGAAAGCGUGGGGAGCAAACAGGAUUAGAUACCCUGGUAGUCCACGCCCUAAACGAUGUCAACUAGCUGUUGGGGCCUUCGGGCCUUGGUAGCGCAGCUAACGCGUGAAGUUGACCGCCUGGGGAGUACGGUCGCAAGAUUAAAACUCGAAUGAAUUGAC
rnacentral:rRNA from 1 species